rnacentral:rRNA from 1 species
UACGUAGGGGGCAAGCGUUGUCCGGAUUCAUUGGGCGUAAAGAGCGUGUAGGCGGUCAGGUAGGUCGGUUGUGAAAACUGGAGGCUCAACCUUCAGAGGUCGACCGAAACCAUCUGGCUAGAGUCCGGGAGAGGAGAGUGGAAUUCCUGGUGUAGCGGUGAAAUGCGCAGAUAUCAGGAAGAACACCCGUGGCGAAAGCGGCUCUCUGGAAACGGUACUGACGCUGAGACGCGAAAGCGUGGGGAGCGAACAGG